rnacentral:lncRNA from 1 species
AACUUUGCGUAUUUCCUCCUGUAGCACUAAUCUUUCUUUUUUUUCUAAACAAAAGGCCCCACGAAAUGAAAUUAUGUACAGGAAAGUUUAGACCAACGAGAAGUCAAAAGGUUCCCGAGGGGCUAACCAACCCACGCGACGCAGUUGAGCAUAAACACGACACACUGUCAUAGGCCAUCAUUGCCGCAGUUAAGCAUAAACACGACAUACUGUCAUAGGCCAUCAUUGCCGAGCGUGGAAGCAAAACCGCCAGCAGCUACGACUUCCCGUGGCAGGUCACCCACGAACCACACACUGAUGGUUCCGAAGCAAGCGGCUACAACCAGUUAUCGUGCCGAGCUCGACCCCGCGAAGAGCAGCUCCGACUUCCAGUUAUGAACUCACGCCUCGCCCCCAGCGGAUGUAGAUCCC